UGUGCUACUGGUCCAGAUUUCCAAGCACUAUUGAAGGAGCUUUCACAUAUAAAGACUCUAAUGAGAAUGGGAGGAGCAGAGAGGAGGAACACAACCCUAAGAGUUGUUGUGAUAGUUUCUCAUCUGAGACACUGCCUGUGUUAACAUGAUCCCUCUAGUAGUAGUAGUAUUUUCAGCAUUCAUGGGUAAGGGUGUUGGGAACUCAAUUACCCCAGAGAGUCCAGUAUACUCUGCAAUAGAGGGAGAUGAUAUAAAACUCUCCUGCAGGUAUGACGGGGCUGUUAGAGGUCUGCAUUGGUAUCGCCAGUUCUCCAAUUCAGUGCCACAGUUCCUGAUACUGGAUUAUGAAGGUUUUGUGACCAAUGCAACUCCUCCUGUUCCUGGGAUAUCCAUAAAUCAUAACAAUACAGCGAAGCUGGUUUCUCUGCACCUCUCCUCUGCUAAGAUGACAGACUCUGCUCUCUACUACUGUGCCCUGCAGCCCACAGUGAUGGGAAAGCUCAGAUGCACUACACAAAAACUCUCACAGCCUCAACAAAUGCUCCUGUGCUGCAUGUGGCUAUUGUGUAAACAAGCAAUUUUAAGGUUUCAUUUCUUAGUCAACUGA